rnacentral:rRNA from 1 species
AUCAUGGCUCAGGAUGAACGCUAGCUACAGGCUUAACACAUGCAAGUCGAACGAAGCACUUUACUACGAUUCCUUCGGGAUGACGGUUUAGUGACUGAGUGGCGGACGGGUGAGUAACGCGUGGGGAACCUGCCCCAUACCGGGGGAUAACAGCCGGAAACGGGCUGCUAAUACCGCAUAAGCGCACAGUACCGCAUGGUACGGUGUGAAAAACUCCGGUGGUAUGGGAUGGACCCGCGUCUGAUUAG